rnacentral:rRNA from 1 species
CCUACGGGUGGCAGCAGUGAGGAAUAUUGGUCAAUGGACGCAAGUCUGAACCAGCCAUGCCGCGUGCAGGAAGACGGCUCUAUGAGUUGUAAACUGCUUUUGUACGAGGGUAAACGCAGAUACGCGUAUCUGUCUGAAAGUAUCGUACGAAUAAGGAUCGGCUAACUCCGUGCCAGCAGCCGCGGUAAUACGGAGGAUUCAAGCGUUAUCCGGAUUUAUUGGGUUUAAAGGGUGCGUAGGCGGUCGUGUAAGUUAGAGGUGAAAGCCCGAGGCUCAACUUCGGAAUUGCCUCGGAUACUGUUCGGCUAGAGAGUAGUUGCGGUAGGCGGAAUGUAUGGUGUAGCGGUGAAAUGCUUAGAGAUCAUACAGAACACCGAUUGCGAAGGCAGCUUACCAAGCUACUUCUGACGUUGAGGCACGAAAGCGUGGGGAGCAAACAGGAUUAGAUACCCUAGUAGUC